GACGAACGCUGGCGGCGUGCUUAACACAUGCAAGUCGAACGGAAAGGCCCUGCUUUUGUGGGGUGCUCGAGUGGCGAACGGGUGAGUAACACGUGAGUAACCUGCCCUUGACUUUGGGAUAACUUCAGGAAACUGGGGCUAAUACCGGAUAGGAGCUCCUGCUGCAUGGUGGGGGUUGGAAAGUUUCGGCGGUUGGGGAUGGACUCGCGGCUUAUCAGCUUGUUUGUGGGGUAGUGGCUUACCAAGGCUUUGACGGGUAGCCGGCCUGAGAGGGUGACCGGCCACAUUGGGACUGAGAUACGGCCCAGACUCGUACGGGAGGCAGCAGUGGGGAAUAUUGCACAAUGGGCGGAAGCCUGAUGCAGCAACGCCGCGUGCGGGAUGACGGCCUUCGGGUUGUAAACCGCUUUCGCAUGUGACGAAGCGUGAGUGACGGUAAUGGGUAAAGAAGCACCGGCUAACUACGUG
rnacentral:rRNA from 1 species